rnacentral:rRNA from 1 species
AUGCAAGCCGAGCGGUAGAGAUCUUUCGGGAUCUUGAGAGCGGCGUAGGGGUGCGGAAGACGUGUGCAACCUGCCUUUAUCUGGGGAGAGCCUUUCUAAAGGAAGAUUAAUACCCCAUAAUAUAUUGGAUGGCAUCAUUUGAUAUUGAAACUCCGGUGGAUAGAGAUGGGCACGCGCAAGAUUAGAUAGUUGGUGAGGUAACGGCUCACCAAGUCUGCGAUCUUUACGGGCCUGAGAGGGUGAUCCCCCACACUGGUACUGAGACACGGACCAGACUCCUACCGGAGGCAGCAGUGAGGAAUAUUGAACGAUGGGUGAGAGCCUGAUCCAUCCAUCCCGCGUGAAUGACGACGGCCCUAUGGGUUGUAAACUUCUUUGUAUACGGAUAAAACUACUCUCGUGAGAGUAGCUGAAGGUACUAUACUAAUAAGCACCGGCUAACUCCGUGCCAGCACCGCGGUAAUACGGAGGGUGCAAGCGUUAUCCGGAUUUAUUGGGUUUAAAGGGUCCGUAGGCGGAUUUGUAAGUCAGUGGUGAAAUCUCACAGCUUAACUGUGAAACUGCCAUUGAUACUGCAAGUCUUGGUGUUGUUGAAGUACUGGAAUAAGUAAUGUACCGGUGAAAUGCAUAAUAUUACUUAGAACACCAAUUGCCAAGGCGGGUUACUAAGCACCAACUGACGCUGAUGGACUAAAGCGUGAGGAGCGAACAAGAUUACAUACCCUGAUAGUCCACGCCGUAAACGAUGCUAACUCGUUUUUGGGCUUUUGGGUUCAGAGACUAAUCGAAAGUAUAAUUUAGCCACCUGGGGAGUACGAACGCAAGUUUGAAACUCAGAUGAAUUGACGGGGGCCCGCACAAGCGCUGCAUUAUGUGGUUUAAUGCGAUGAUACGCGAGGAACCUUACCAAGGCUUAAAUGGGUAAUGACAGGUUUAGAAAUAGACUAUUCUUCGGACAUUUUUCAGGAGCUGCAUACUUGUCGUCAGCUCGUGCCGUGAGGUGUUAGCUUAAAUCCGCAUCGAGCACGAGCCCUGUCCUCGUUGCCAUCAUUAAGUGGGGACUCUAUGAGCCUGCCUACGCAACUAGAGAGGAAGGUGGGGAUUACGUCAAAUCAUCGCGGCCCUUACGCCUUGAGCCACACACGUAAUACAAUGCCCGGUACAGAGGCCAGCUACACAGCAGUGUGAUGCAAAUAUCGAUAGCCGGUCUCAGUUCGAGUUGGACUCUGCAACUCGACUCUCUGAAGCUGGAAUCGCUAGUAAUCGCGCAUUAGCGAUGGCGCGAUGCAUACGUUCCCGGGCCUUGUGCACACGGCCCGUCAAGCGAUGGAAGUCUGGGGUACCUGAAGUCGGCUGACCAUAACAGGAGC